rnacentral:rRNA from 1 species
UUAGCCAUGCAUGUCUAAGUUCACCCCCUCGGACGGGAGAGACCGCGAAUGGCUCAAUAGAUCAGUCGAGGUUCCUUAGAUGACACGACCUACCCCUCGGAUAACUGUGGCAAUUCCAGAGCUAAUACGUGCCUCGCAAGCCCCGACCCCCGCAAGGGGGAAGGGGCGCUUUUAUUAGUUCAAAACCGGCGGCACCCUCCGUUCGCGCGGGAGGUGCCUUCCCCCUGGUGACUCUGGAUAACUUUGUGCUGAUCGCACGGCCUUCGUGCCGGCGACGCAUCUUUCAAAUGUCUGCCCUAUCAAAUGUCGACGGUACGUGAUAUGCCUACCGUGUUGGCGACGGGUAACGGGGAAUCAGGGUUCGAUUCCGGAGAGGGAGCACGAGAAACGGCUACCACAUCCAAGGAAGGCAGCAGGCGCGCAACUUACCCACUCCCGGCACGGGGAGGUAGUGACGAAAAAUAACAAUACGGGACUCUUCAUGAGGCCCCGUAAUUGGAAUGAGCGCAGUCUAAACCCUUGGGCGAGGACCCAUUGGAGGGCAAGUCUGGUGCCAGCAGCCGCGGUAAUUCCAGCUCCAAUAGCGUAUAUUAAAGUUGUUGCAGUUAAAAAGCUCGUAGUUGGAUCUCGGGCGCAGGCGGGCGGUCCGGCUCGCGCCGGCUCGCCGCCCGUUCCCCUGCCCCACCCCUGCCGGCUCCCUCCCGGUGGUGCUCUUUACUGAGCGUCCCGGGUGGCCGGCGCGUUUACUUUGAAAAAAUUAGAGUGUUCAAGGCGGGCCCGCCGAGCCCGAAUAACUGCGCAUGGAAUAAUGGAAUAGGACCUCGGUUCUAUUUUGCUGGUUUUCGGAAUCCGAGGUAAUGAUUGACGGGGACAAACGGGGGCAUUCGUAUUGCGGCGUUAGAGGUGAAAUUCUUGGAUCGCCGCAAGACGGGCUACUGCGAAAGCAUUUGUCAAGAAUGUUUUCAUUAAUCAAGAACGAAAGUCAGAGGCGCGAAGACGAUCAGAUACCGUCGUAGUUCUGACCAUAAACGAUGCCGACCGGCGAUCCGCGGGAGUUGAUUCUAUGACUCCGCGGGCGGCCUCCGGGAAACCUGAGUCUUUGGGUUCCGGGGGAAGUAUGGUUGCAAAGCUGAAACUUAAAGGAAUUGACGGAAGGGCACACCCGGUCCGGGACACCGGGAGGAUUGACAGAUUGACAGCUCUUUCUUGAUUCGGUGGGUGGUGGUGCAUGGCCGUUCUUAGUUGGUGGAGCGAUUUGUCUGGUUGAUUCCGAUAACGAACGAGACUCUGGCCUGCUAAAUAGGCGGACGGUUUCCGCGCGACCCGGCGUCUGCCGACUCGUCGCCGGCGUUCGGUGCUUCGCGCGCGCCGUCGGAUCUUCUUAGAGGGACAAGCGGCGUUUAGCCGCGCGAGAUUGAGCAAUAACAGGUCUGUGAUGCCCUUAGAUGUCCGGGGCCGCACGCGCGCUACACUGAAGGGAUCAGCGUGGCCUCCCCCCUGGCCCGAGAGGGCUGGGAAACCCGUUGAAUCCCCUUCGUGCUAGGGAUCGGGGCUUGUAAUUAUUCCCCGUGAACGAGGAAUUCCCAGUAAGCGCGGGUCAUAAGCCCGCGUUGAUUACGUCCCUGCCCUUUGUACACACCGCCCGUCGCUACUAUCGAUUGAGCGAUUCAGUGAGGGCAUCGGAUCGGUCGCGGCCUGGGGUUCG